rnacentral:lncRNA from 1 species
UCUCCCUACCUUUUUUGUGAUAUUUUUUACCGGAAGUGACAAAAUUCCGAAUAAAUACUCCGAGGUCUUCAAAGAAAUGAUACAUUAUGUCAAAUCAUGAAUACACAAUAAUAUUAUUGUAUACAAAGCAAACUUUGGCUACCAGUUGUGAGAAGAAAAUAACCAUUAAUCAGUUAUCAAAAGCAUGUCCGCAUUUUUGGUGAUUAAACCGGAAGUAGAUCAAAUCAAGCUUGCCUCCAUAUCUAAUUUUGUUUAGAAUAGUCCAAACUAGGUUUCUACCAAAUUUUAUGCUUUUAACACAAAGUGCACAAUUAU